AAAAAGUCCCCAAUAUAUUUUCAUUUUUAGAAAUCCCCACUUUAGACUUAAAAUGAUCUGCUUCUAUGAGGAUUUUUGAUAUGAUACAUUAAUCAAACUUAACUAUGUGCCCCUUAAGAAUAUUGUCAGUUCUAUCAAUCUUCAUAGCUCACCCAGUGCUAGGUGAGUGUUUUGAACACGGAAUGUGUUUGUGCUUCAGGCAUUCUGUCUCUAAGGAUGGAAUGGAAAACCCUUCCCUUUCAAGCUUUACAGGUACGUUGUGUCAAGUGGAGAAGAUCAGUUCUGGUUAGCAGCUUUAUUGCCACAGAAAGGACACUGGCAGAUACUUCUCAUAGCUCUAGUCAUGCUGAAUUCCCAGAAAGGGGUGUCAGAAUGAAUUGCUCUAAGCUCUUCUCCCUGGUAGAAGAACCUGUGACUUCUCUUGGAGAUCUCUUCAAUUUUCGAUGAUAAAGAAAAAAUGAGGAAAUGCUGUGAAGAACUAAUAGAACGUUUCAGAAGCAGAACAAGUCGAGAGCAGUGAUGACCCUUUUCUUCCUGCUAGUACCUCCUGUCUGUCUGGCUGAACUCACCAUCAGAUGAUGUCUUGAACCUCACCUAGAUGGGCUGGUGGUGUGUGGCCAGGUUAAGAGCACCAACAGGAGUAAGAAAGUGACCUGCCUGGUUUUACCGUGUGCACUAGGGGAGGGGUUGAAAGCUUUCGGUUGAUACAUCACCUCUGGGAGUUGAAGAAGAAUGCAAUUAAGAGAGCUAAAGAAGUCAGUAGGUAUCUCUCCUGAACAAUUCUGGUUUUCUUCUAAUAGCUUUUACAAUUUUUACCUCUGUUAUGAAAUGCAAACUUUUAACCAAUAUUAGUAAUAGUAAUCUCAAAUCUCAUCAUCAUCAAAAUCUUAUUUAUGAAAUGUAGGAGUUAGUUCAUAUACAGCCUUAGCCUUUUCCACAUUAUAAAAUAUAUUCCAUAUAUAUGUGUGAUCUUCAUUUAAUAUUCAAGUAAAUGUUGUAAGAUAUUGUUAUUUUUAUUCUAACAUUUCACAGGUAUAGAAUCUGAAACUCAGAGGUCAACUGAUGUGUCAAAGAUACCUCCACAAAUCAGUACCUUGAUUAAAACUAAAAUUGGAGUCAUCUUCAUAUCUUCAUCUUUCUCCCUCUUCAUUAGGACCGAUUGUAGUCUGUUUCCCUCUCACUCACUUGCAAUCUUUAUUGCUUUAGUGUUGCAUUUGAUUUUUAUCUUUGUUUUUGUUUUAAAUACUGUCAUUAAAGUCAUAGAAAAAUCUAAAGUAAAACUGGUUGAAUAAAAAUUUUAAAAUCGACUCUAAUGUAAUAAACCAGACAAAAAUGAUACUUUACAUGUUAUAUCUUCCCUUUAAACUACAAAUAUUCAUUGAGUGUAUACCCUGUAUUAGGCUGUUGGAAUAAAACAGGGAAGAAGACAGAAGAAACUGCACCGCCAUCUUAGAUCUUGCAGCCAAAUUCCUCUGAACUUUUCUCUAAAGACGUGCUCUGGAAAAAUGUUGAUCAUUUUCCUACAUCAUGGAGGUCUUUUCAUGACCACCUUUGUCUAGACAAUGUCCUGUUUUUAGGUGCACGUUUGAGGGCUGGAGUCUCUGACCCACAGUGCUGCAGCCUGCACGUGGUUUGUCCUGACUUCUUUGCUACUUCACUUUUCGUAAGGCUCUGAGAGUGCAGGCCCUUGUGGGUGGACACUGCAGGGUGAGAGGAAGAAGUAAACUACUUUUUUCCGUUUCUGAUGGGGGUGUGGGUCAGCAGCUAUAAGCAACAGGGACCAUGGGGGGCCUCAGACUUCAGCACCUGAGAGGCAGUUUCAGUCGUAUUGGGGAGAUGCAGGCAUCUGGGUUGCUGCACAUCACCAGGGCAGGGUUCUCUCAGCAGCCCUGGAGUGCAGAGUUCCCAUCAGCUCAGCAGUGAGGGGCACAUGGGGCUCCAG
rnacentral:lncRNA from 1 species